rnacentral:rRNA from 1 species
CGGAUCAGGUAGGAAUACCCGCUGAACUUAAGCAUAUCAAUAAGCGGAGGA